rnacentral:rRNA from 1 species
UACGGAGGAUGCGAGCGUUAUCCGGAUUUAUUGGGUUUAAAGGGUGCGUAGGUGGCUUUUUAAGUCAGUGGUGAAAGUUUGUCGCUCAACGAUAAAAUUGCCAUGGAAACCGGAGAGCUUGAGUAUGUUUGAGGUAGGCGGAAUGCGUAGUGUAGCGGUGAAAUGCAUAGAUAUUACGCAGAACUCCAAUUGCGAAGGCAGCUUACUAAACCAUAACUGACACUGAAGCACGAAAGCGGGGGUACCAAAC